rnacentral:rRNA from 1 species
CACCGCGGUUAUACGAGAGACCCGAGUUGACAGACAUCGGCGUAAAGAGUGGUUAAGAUGUAUUUACACUAAAGCCGAACGCCUUCAAAGCUGUUAUACGCAUCCGAAGGUAAGAAGUUCAUUUACGAAGGUAGCUUUACGAUAUCUGAACCCACGAAAGCUAUGACA